GUGGGGAAUCUUGCGCAAUGCGCGAAAGCGUGACGCAGCAACGCCGCGUGGGGGAAGACGGCCUUCGGGUUGUAAACCCCUUUCAGUUGGGACGAAGCUCUACCCGUUAAUAGCGGGUUGGAGUGACGGUACCUUCAGAAGAAGCCCCGGCUAACUACGUGCCAGCAGCCGCGGUAAUACGUAGGGGGCAAGCGUUGUCCGGAAUCAUUGGGCGUAAAGAGCGUGUAGGUGGCCCGAUCAGUCCGCCGUGAAAGUCCAGGGCUCAACCCUGGAAUGCCGGUGGAUACUGUCGGGCUGGAGUCCGGAAGAGGCGAGUGGAAUUCCUGGUGUAGCGGUGAAAUGCGCAGAUAUCAGGAGGAACACCAAUGGCGAAGGCAGCUCGCUGGGACGGUACUGACACUGAGACGCGAAAGCGUGGGGAGCAAACAGGAUUAGAAACCCCAGUAGUCC
rnacentral:rRNA from 1 species